rnacentral:rRNA from 1 species
AUUGAACGCUGGCGGCAUGCUUUACACAUGCAAGUCGAACGGUAACAGCACUUCGGUGGCUGACGAGUGGCGAACGGGUGAGUAAUACAUCGGAACGUGCCUAGUAGUGGGGGAUAACUACUCGAAAGAGUAGCUAAUACCGCAUGAGAUCUAAGGAUGAAAGCAGGGGACCUUCGGGCUUUCCCCUACUAAACCGGCUGAUGGCAGAUUAGGUAGUUGGUGGGAUAAAAGCUUACCAAGCCGACGAUCUGUAGCUGGUCUGAGAGGACGACCAGCCACACUGGGACUGAGACACGGCCCAGACUCCUACGGGAGGCAGCAGUGGGGAAUUUUGGACAAUGGGCGCAAGCCUGAUCCAGCAAUGCCGCGUGCAGGAUGAAGGCCUUCGGGUUGUAAACUGCUUUUGUACGGAACGAAAAGCCCUCUUCUAAUACAGGAGGGUCAUGACGGUACCGUAAGAAUAAGCACCGGCUAACUACGUG